CGAUUAUGUGCCUCAUGGUCAGACUGCCACUCUGUGGUGAGAGUUUGGUAUCUGCUGGCCACUUUGAAGCUCUGCCUUCAUAGUUCAAACUUUAGGAAUGGGAAACUAGUUUCUGUCCACAGGAUCCUGCUUCCAGAUCAAAAGUAGCCAGCCUCUGAGGUCACAAAGAUCUACCUCUGGCUCUGUGAAAAACUUAUGCUGCUGUCACUGCAAACAGGUUGUUCAUACUCCACGUGAGUCUGGUGAAGAGAUCGAAUAUUGUUACAGAUAUUCACAUGUAUUAUGAGAAGGACACUCCACCGAUGAACAAUCAGGGUGAAGGAGAAAAAGAUGACCCUGAGGAAGCCAUGGACAAACUGCCCAAAAUUGAACCAAAAGAAGAAUCCAACAGCUCCUCAAACAUGCUGAAUGAGGAGGACACCAACAAAGAUGGGGUGAAUACAGAGAUCAACACUCCAACGAACAUUUGGGGUGAAGAGGAAGAUGAUAUCUCCGAGAUAGCGCUGGAUGAUGUGCCUUCGGUGAAAAUGGUGGGACGGCCUCCAUUCGCUCCGCGGGUGGCCUUCAUGGUGAACAAAACACAUGACACCGAGGACCCUAUGGAGAAACGGCCCAGCAUCAAUGCUCAAAAAGCAGCUCUCUACUAUGAUCAGAUGAUGACCAGUGAAACGACUAAUGAUAAUGCAGUGACGUCAGAGAUCACGACUCCAGUGACGAACAAUCAGGUUGAAGUUGAAGAAGAAGAUUGCAUAGGAUGCUGCUUCCAGAUUCAAAGAAACAAUGGACAGAAGUCACAAAGAUCAACCUCUGGUUGCAUCAGAAAGUUAUACUCCCGGUGCCACAAGCAGUUACACCCAACAGGUGGGCCAGAAAAAAUGGAGGAAUUCCAGGCAGAGCUGCCCAGCAUCACAGGAGAAACAGAGGCUCCAACUGGCUCCAUCAUGAUGACCAGUGAAACGACUAAUGAUAAUGCAGUGACGUCAGAGAUCACGACUCCAGUGACGAACAAUCAGGUUGAAGUUGAAGAAGAAGCAUGCUGCUUCCCAACUGGAGGAAACCCUCCUGCGGUGGCAGAAGUAUCAACCUCUGGCUGUGUCGGAAGUUUUUUCUACUGGCGCCGCAAGCAGUUACACCCAACAGGAAAACUCUCACUAAUUUUGGAAGAGUCGUCAUCUUUCUCCACAUCGACGAAGGAGAAGACUAACAGCAGCGAAUUGAUUGUGAAGAGCGUUGGUAGCAACACUGAUGAAAAUUCAGAACACUACAUGGCAGAUAAUGAGAAUUCUGACCACAACUGUCAGGGUCAUAAGACACCAAAACGCUCCCUGUUCAUGCGUUUAAGAAAAACAUUUGGGGGGACAGCUUCCGAUGCUGAUGAUGAGCACACCUAGGAAGAACCAGUGUCAAUGUGGCAGACCGGGGGUGCAAAGAUUGUCAGUCCGACACCAGUGACAGCCUGGAUGUGGACACCCCCAGCCUGUCUCACAACCUCCAUACCAUCAGGACCUCCACAUAGACAAGCACAGCAGAAGCCUCACUCAAUGCUCACCUC
rnacentral:lncRNA from 9 species